rnacentral:lncRNA from 1 species
CUUCCGGGCCUCAGGAAAAAGGCAGAAAUGGAGGAGAGAGAAAAAAGGAACAUCCUUCCCGCCUGCUAGUGGAGUAGAUCCCAGGGGUUGGUUGUUAUCUUUGGUUAUCUAGCUGUAUGAGUGGGGUCAAGUCUUCAUAAAGCUAGAUAACCGAAAGUAAAAAUAACCCCAUUACACGCCUGGGGAGGAGGAAGACAAGGAGGAGGAAGGCCACCGAAAGCAAGCAAGUUUUUGAACAGAAUGGCUGGCAAGGAUGGAUUGAAAAACCAGUCCUUGAGGAUGAAAGAAAUCAACCGAAUGGAAGAGAUGGAGGAAAGAGAGAAGACAAAGACGAUUCACAGCAAUCGAGAAAUUAGAGGACAUGUUCCUGCCAGGAUCUAACCAUCUCCAGCGCCUGGGGCAUCUGACUCCUCUGGGGGCGCAGAACCUACAAGACUGCAUUAAAGCGCCAGAUGUGAGAUGAGGAAAGCUGGAGGGGCACCCCUUCUAUCCCAGGCUAUUUUGGAAAGUUUCCUGUAUGGCGGAUCAAGCGGAGAGAUGUCACUGCUGUCCUUUCAGGCUGGAGACUGGGAUUUGAACCCUGGUCUCCUGAGCUCUCAGCCACCGGUCAGUCAACUCUGCCACCUUCUCUCCACUGUGACCCCCCCCCCAGGGGCCAAGUCGGGUUACAAAAAACUGCAAAGCUGGAAGGCCUUCCCAGGGAUCAUCCUUGCAGAGGGAGGCCAUCCACAGCCAUCCCUAGUGGAGGGCCCCCCAACCUGCGUGUGGGGAGGCCCCCCACGGAGCAACCUCUCCACCUGGACACUCAUUGGGGUCAGGUCCAUGUCGUCGGGAGGCAGGCGUGCAAUCCCAAGAUGCCAACAGCUCCCUUUUAUUCCUGGGGGGGGGGGGAAGGAACAGGAUGUCAGUGUGUGGACAUCCUGCCUCCAUCAGCCUCCACACUUUGGGACCCACGGAGGCCCCUUGUCCUUCCCCCACCACCUCCAAUUGUGCCUUUACCUGCUAUCGUAUUAUUAGCUGAUGGGCGUCUCCAUUAUACACCUGUGUCCCAUUUUAAAAAAAAUACAUAAAAAUAAAAAAUCAACAUGACUCCUUGGGGCGGCUUCA